rnacentral:lncRNA from 1 species
UUGCAGUACCUCCUAGAGGCCACAGGGGGGAGAGCGCGGGGCCCUCCCAGGGAGGACGCUCCGUCCUCGCUGCACAGAGAGCUUCCCGGAGCGUGGGUGGGGGUGGAAACCCGUGGGGAGCUGAAGUCUCCUCAGCCCAGUCACUGAGGCACCGGGGGAGACGCGGAGGAAGAAAGCACCAUUGAGAAUUAUGCGUCACGACCCGAGGCCUUUAACACCCCGUUCCUGAACAUCGACAAAUUGCGAUCUGCGUUUAAGGCUGAUGAGUUCCUGAACUGGCACGCCCUCUUUGAGUCUAUCAAAAGGAAACUUCCUUUCCUCAACUGGGAUGCCUUUCCUAAGCUGAAAGGACUGAGGAGCGCAACUCCUGAUGCCCAGUGACCAUGACCUCCACUGGAAGAGGGGGCUAGCGUGAGCGCUGAUUCUCAACCUACCAUAACUCUUUCCUGCCUCAGGAACUCCAAUAAAACAUUUUCCAUCCAACA